GGCGAGGGGGAAACCUGGGCCCGGGCAGAGCGGGAGGAAGAGGGGGCGAGGAGAGGCCGAACGGCCAGGAAAAGGAGCUGAGCGACACAUGAACCUUCACGCUUGCCGCCUCUGGCGCCCGUUAACCUCGCGGCGCGGACAGGGCCAGCGCCGGUUCCGCUCAGGCGCGCGAGCCCGUCCCCUGCCCGCUCCGGGCGGGGCUCAGCCCCUCUGCGGACGCACCCGUGGUUUCUCCCAGGUCGGCGACCCUCACUAAGGGCCACCAGAGCCACAUUUCUUCUAGUAACAGCCCCCGCCGGCGGGGGUGGCGCCUGCCCGUGCUAGAGGCGCCGCGCUUGCGCACCCGACGGUCCCUCGGGCGGCUGACCCAGGUUCGCCGAACCCGGCACCCUCGCGCGCUCGGCGCCCCCGGCCCGGGCUAUGGCAACGCGGGCCACUCGGCUACUUUGUGACUGUGCGGGGCGCGGAGUUGAAGACGGUUCCAGCCCAACAGCCGCCAAACCCACGUGGGAUGGCGAGAUGCGAAAGUUUCCAGCUACGAACGGAAACCUUACAAGACAGGAUGAGAAUGGUGAGG